rnacentral:rRNA from 2 species
AACGUGUCGCGAUGGAUGACUUGGCUUCCUAUUUCGUUG